rnacentral:rRNA from 1 species
AACGAACGCUGGCGGAAUGCUUUACACAUGCAAGUCGAACGGCAGCACGGACUUCGGUCUGGUGGCGAGUGGCGAACGGGUGAGUAAUGUAUCGGAACGUGCCCAGUCGUGGGGGAUAACGUAGUGAAAAUUACGCUAAUACCGCAUACGAUCUAUGGAUGAAAGCGGGGGAUCGCAAGACCUCGCGCGAUUGGAGCGGCCGAUAUCAGAUUAGGUAGUUGGUGGGGUAAAGGCCCACCAAGCCAACGAUCUGUAGCUGGUCUGAGAGGACGACCAGCCACACUGGAGCUGAGACACGGUCCAGACUCCUACGGGAGGCAGCAGUGGGGAAUUUUUGACAAUGGGCGAAAGCCUGAUCCAGCCAUUCCGCGUGCGGGAUGAAUGCCCUCGGGUUGUAAACUGCUUUUGUACAGAACGAAAAGGUUUCUACUAAUACUAGGAGCUCAUGACGGUACUGUAAGAAUAAGCACCGGCUAACUACGUGCCAGCAGCCGCCGCCG